AAAUUUCUGGGAUGUUCGUUUACCCUUUAUUUUGAACCUACAUUUCUUAUAAGGGAUUCUUACAUUUAAAAGAAUAUGUCAGGCCUCAAGAUAAUUCCCUUUGGGCAGAGGAAGACAGAUUUCUUUUAUGCGGAAACCCACCUGGCCUACGCUAGGUGUCAAAAUGGGGCACCGGCAUUCUGGUUAAAAA
rnacentral:other from 1 species